GGUGGGGGCUAUACAUGCAGUCGAGCGGAAUUUUAUUGGUGCUUGCACCUUUAAAAUUUUAGCGGCGGACGGGUGAGUAACACGUGGGUAACCUACCUUAUAGAUUGGGAUAACUCCGGGAAACCGGGGCUAAUACCGAAUAAUACUUUUUAACACAUGUUUGAAAGUUGAAAGACGGUUUCGGCUGUCACUAUAAAAUGGACCCGCGGCGCAUUACCUAGUUGGUGAGGUAACGGCUCACCAAGGCAACGAUGCGUACCCAACCUGAGAGGGUGAUCGGCCACACUGGGACUGAAACACGGCCCAAACUCCUACGGGAGGCAGCAGUAGGGAAUCUUCCACAAGGGACAAAAGUCUGAUGGACCACCGCCCCGUGAGUGAAAAAGGAUUUCGGUUCGAAAAACUCUGUUGCAGGGGAAAAACAAGUACCGUAUUACCUGGCGCUACCUUGACGGUACCUUGUUAAAAAGCCACGGCUAACUACUUGCCACCACCCGCGGUAAUACGUAGGUGGCAAGCGUUGUCCGGAAUUAUUGGGCGUAAAGCGCGCGCAGGUGGUUCCUUAAUUCUGAUGUGAAACCCCCCGGCUCACCCGGGGAGGGUCAUUGAAAACUGGGGAACUUGAGUGCAAAAAAGGAUAGUGAAAUUCCAAGUGUAGCGGUGAAAUGCGUAGAGAUUUGGAGGACCACCAGUGGCGAAGGCGACUGUCUGGUCUGUAACUGACACUGAGGCGCGAAAGCGUGGGAGCAAACAGGAUUAGAUACCCUGGUAGUCCACGCGUAAACGAUGGAGUGCUAGUGUGGGGGGUUUCCGCCCCUCAGUGCUGCAGCUACGCAAUAGCACUUCGCUGAGAGUACGGUCGCAGACUGACUCAAGGAAUGGACGGCGCAAGCGUGGACAUGUGAUAAUUCGAAGCAACGCGAAGAAAUCU
rnacentral:rRNA from 1 species